rnacentral:ncRNA from 1 species
GGACGGUAGAGUUCGGCGCGUCAUCUCGGCGGGUGCGGGAAUUCCGGUGCGAAUCCGGAGCGGUCGCGCCACUGUGACCUCGGCAUUCGUGUCGAGGAAGUCAGACCCCCGCUCGCCGUGCGGAACUCUG